rnacentral:rRNA from 1 species
AUUGAACGCUGGCGGCAGGCUUAACACAUGCAAGUCGAGCGGAGCGGCGGACGGGUGAGGAAUGCUUAGGAAUCUGCCUGUUAGUGGGGGACAACAUCUCGAAAGGGAAGCUAAUACCGCAUACUAAUAGUUGAGCCUAAGUCGGAUUGGCUAGUAGGUGGGGUAACGGCUCACCUAGGCGACGAUCCCUAGCCGGUCUGAGAGGAUGACCAGCCACACUGGGACUGAGACACGGUCCAGACUCCUACGGGAUGCAGCAGUGGGGAAUAUUGGACAAUGGGCGCAAGCCUGAUGCAGACAUGCCGCGGGUGUGAAGAAGGCCUUCGGGUUGUAAAGCACUUUCAGCGGGGAGGCGUUACCCGCAGAAGAAGCACCGGCUAACUCCGUGCCAGCAGCCGCGGUAAUUC